rnacentral:misc_RNA from 1 species
GUGAAUCAUCAAAUCUUUGAACGCACAUUGCACUCCCUGGUAUUCCGGAGAGCAUGCCUGUUUGAGGGUAAUUAAAAAGAAUCUCUAACCAAUUUUUUUUGGUCAAAGGCCAUGAGCUCUCCGCGUUUAUAGCGGUAGCUUGAAAUAAAUGGUUAAGUCUCAUUUUAGUCGAGACGCGUAAUAAUAUUAUUUUGAGAAAUCUUCAUU